AGUCUCCCUCUUCCACACUCAGGGACCGCCACCAUCACAGGCACUCGGUAGAUGUCUGCUGAAUGAGGAUAACUUCUACCCAACACCGUGAAGCCUGGCCCAGGGUCUGGCAUACAGAUGCCGUGUUUGUAAGUCCUGGUUGCUCAUCUCGCCCACUUGCACAGCCCACCUGUGUGGCCGACUCAGGAUUGACCCACCUGCUCUCUUCAGGCCAUAUUCCCACGCAGAAGUGGGUCCCACUCCUCAGGCCUCUGUGCUGGCCCCGUCUGUGGGGUUAGCAAGCAGCCCUGCUCUCCAUUUCCAGCUCAGAAGCAACUGGAUCGUUACCUCAUUGGUGACAACUUGACUGUGCUGCCCAGAGCUGAUAAGAAACAUCACCCGGGGAAGACCAGCUGCCUCUUCCUUGCUUCCUAAUCAGGGUGGAAAUACUGCUAAAUAUAUCACAACUCUUUGCAAGCA
rnacentral:lncRNA from 1 species